GCGGAAGGCCCUUCGGGGUACUCGAGCGGCGAACGGGUGAGUAACACGUGAGCAACCUGCCCCAGGCUUUGGGAUAACCCCGGGAAACCGGGGCUAAUACCGAAUAUGACCUUGCACCGCAUGGUGUUUGGUGGAAAGUUUUUCGGCUUGGGAUGGGCUCGCGGCCUAUCAGCUUGUUGGUGGGGUGAUGGCCUACCAAGGCGACGACGGGUAGCCGGCCUGAGAGGGCGACCGGCCACACUGGGACUGAGACACGGCCCAGACUCCUACGGGAGGCAGCAGUGGGGAAUAUUGCACAAUGGGCGGAAGCCUGAUGCAGCGACGCCGCGUGAGGGAUGACGGCCUUCGGGUUGUAAACCUCUUUCAGCAGGGACGAAGCGUAAGUGACGGUACCUGCAGAAGAAGCGCCGGCCAACUACGUGCCAGCAGCCGCGGUAAGACGUAGGGCGCGAGCGUUGUCCGGAUUUAUUGGGCGUAAAGAGCUCGUAGGCGGCUUGUCGCGUCGACCGUGAAAACCUGGGGCUCAACCCCAGGCCUGCGGUCGAUACGGGCAGGCUAGAGUUCGGUAGGGGAGACUGGAAUUCCUGGUGUAGCGGUGAAAUGCGCAGAUAUCAGGAGGAACACCGGUGGCGAAGGCGGGUCUCUGGGCCGAUACUGACGCUGAGGAGCGAAAGCGUGGGGAGCGAACAGGAUUAGAUACCCUGGUAGUCCACGCUGUAAACGUUGGGCGCUAGGUGUGGGGGGCCUCUCCGGUUCCCUGUGCCGCAGCUAACGCAUUAA
rnacentral:rRNA from 1 species